rnacentral:lncRNA from 1 species
UUGCCCUGAGUUGGUGUAGAUCACAGACAUGGCUCAGAUCUGGCGUUGCUGUGGCUGUGGCAGGCAGCUACAGCUCUGAUUUGACCUCUGGCCUGGGAAAUUCCAUAUGCUGCAGGUGCAGCUCUAAAAGGCAAAUAAAUAAAUAAAUAAGAAAAAACCCUCUGUUCUUCAGUUCCUCUGCCCUGCCCUGCCCUACCAAUGCUCCUUCCAAAUUCAUCAAUUUCUCCUUGCUUUUCUAUCAGUUUUUGCCUCACAUAUUUUGACACUCUGUUUUUAGAUGUAUACAUGUUAAAUAUCAUUUUUAUAAAAAGAAUUGACACCUUUAUCAUUAUGUAAUAUAUUUUUUUAUACCUGAUAUUUUUUCUUGGUCUAAAGUCUGCUUUGUCUAAAAUUAAUAUAGCUACUCCAGCUUUCUUUUGAUUAGUGUUAGCCUGGUGUAUCUUUCUCCAACCCUUUACUUUUAAUCUAUCUGUGUCUUAAUAUUUAAAGUAGAUUUCCUCUGUUUUCUAUUCAUAGCCCUUGUUCUUCAUUUCUCUCUCUCUCUCUUUUUUGCCACACCCAUGGCAUGCAGAAGUUCCUGGGCCAGAGAUUAAACCUGCGCCACAGCAGCGAGCUGAGUAUCAAUUUAUUAAAAAGUUGGGGUUAAGCAUCCACAGUGAUGACUUCAACCUCGACUCCUGGUUCAAUACUGAUGGAUGUGAUCUGCUUAACAAUCUCAGAAGGGCUGUGCAGGUCUAUGAGUCGCUUGUGGAUCCUCAUCUGUAAACGAUCCCAAGUUUUAGAACCUUCACCAUAAGGGGUUUUUCUUGUAGUUAUUCUCAGAGUCUUGGUGGGCAUCCGCACUGGGCCCUUCACUUCGAGAUUAUUCUCCUUCACUCCUCUGAAGCACACACCUUCUCCAAAGACUUCACGUUGUGGCUGGAGAGGGUGAUCCGAAUCCGGUGAAUCGCGACCUGGCUCCACUGGAGUCUUGCCAGUGUCCUUAAAGGCCAUGUCUGCAGCACGCUUCCUGACCGACUUGUUCCUCUGGGAGGGUGAACAGCGGGGAGCCAGGAGCGGACGCAGACGGCCCAGGGCUCCGCGACAGCGCGGGCUGCGUCUUCCUCAAAGAAUAUUUCUUGCAAGGCAAGUCUGAAGACAACUUCCCUCAAUUUCUAUCCUGAGAAAGUCUUUAUUUCUCCUUCACUUUUCAAGGAUAAAUUUCUGGAUACA